UACGGAGGGUGCAAGCGUUGUUCGGAAUCACUGGGCGUAAAGCGCGUGUAGGCGGCCUUCUUAGUCUGGUGUGAAAGCCCGGGGCUCACCCCCGGAAGUGCAUUGGAUACUGGAAGGCUGGAGUACCGGAGAGGAGGGUGGAAUUCCUGGUGUAGCGGUGAAAUGCGUAGAUAUCAGGAGGAACCCCGGUGGCGAAGGCGGCCCUCUGGACGGAUACUGACGCUGAGACGCGACAGCGUGGGGAGCAAACAGG
rnacentral:rRNA from 1 species